UUCUCCUUAACGGGGGUUCACGUUUGACGUUCUGCGUUCCGUGGUGUUCUUCUACAUUAAGACUCCUCUGAGGGUGAAGGAGGCGGGGCUCGAGGAGCUGAUCCCCACCACCUGGUGGCCCACGCACUUCGACAAGGAGGGGAAAGACGAGCGAGAGCCUAAAGAUGAAAGCGCCGAUGAGCGUCUGAGACGGAGAGCGUACGAGAGAGGCUGCCAGAGGCUGAAGAAGAGGAUCGAAGUGGUGGAAGAGUUGCAGGUUCAGAUCCUCAAGUUGCUGCUCAACAACAAGGACAAAACUACAGUA